GAUGAACGCUAGCGGCAGGCCUAAUACAUGCAAGACGAACGGCAAGAAUUGUAGCAAUACGGUUCCUAGAGUGUCGCACGGGUGCGUAACACGUAUGCAACCUACCUUGUACAGGAGUAUAGCUCGGGGAAACUCGAAUUAACCCUCCAUAAUAUAAUCGGAUGGCAUCAUUUGAUUAUUAAAACUUCGGUGGUACAAGAUGGGCAUGCGUUUGAUUAGCUAGUUGGCGGGGUAAAGGCCCACCAAGGCGAUGAUCAAUAGGGGAACUGAGAGGUUGAUCCCCCACACUGGCACUGAGAUACGGGCCAGACUCCUACGGGAGGCAGCAGUAGGGAAUAUUGGUCAAUGGAUGGAAGUCUGAACCAGCCAUGCCGCGUGCAGGAAGAAGGCCUUCUGGGUUGUAAACUGCUUUUGCCAGGGGAUAAAAAUUCUUUGCGAAGAAAAUUGAAGGUACCUGGUGAAUAAGCACCGGCUAACUACGUGCCAGCCGCCGCAGUAA
rnacentral:rRNA from 1 species